rnacentral:lncRNA from 1 species
UCUAAUUGAUUAUCAAGAAUAGUGAGUUGGACUGAUGAUAAUUCAACAUGAUAAAACUGAGCAAGAUGAAGCAAUUUUUCUUUAUCAUAAGCAUUGAAUAAAUCAACUGGAUUCAAGCAUGAAGCACAUAUAAGCAACUCUAUAUUUACUUCAUUAAAAUGACUGUUAAGCUCCUAGAGUUGCAAAUCUAUCACAACAAAAAAUUAAGAAUCACUUGGCGAAAAAAAGAAGAUUUACUAUGUUUAUGUCACGACUCGAAACCAUAGGCAGGACCGGCAUUAGGACUCAGAUAAGUAUAAGGUCCUCGAGGCUCGUAGUAAGCCUGAACCACAGAAAUUCAACCAUAAUAAUAUGAAUUUCAAACAAUCAGCCCAUAUUGCCAUAAAUAAUAAAUCUCAUAAUUAUAUUAUAUUUUGGACCAAAUCUAGCAUCUUAAACAUUUUAUAGCUCAGGCCCAAUUAUAAUAUAAAAUAUUCAUAAUAUGGGCUAAUUGGUUCAUGCGUUCACUUAAAUGAAUAACUAAACAUCCACCUAAAUUAAUCGGUUAUAAUCCUACAACUGCGGAGUUCACUAACAGAUAAAUAUAAAUAAAAGUUUUAGAACAUAUAGCUACAUAAUUUAAAUAACUGCUGACUAUAAAAAUUACUUUUCUAGCUCUGCGGGGGAGGAGAUAGAGCUUUAACCGGGACAAAGAAGUACCUACUUCUUGGAAAAGUUAAACAAAAGAAAUGUGAGUUUAAUAAUGAAUAGUAAUUAUUAUAUAAUAUAAACAUUCACACGAAAUGCUUCCUAAAGUACUAAAAUGAACAUACAGCCGGUCAAGCAUAUGGCACAACAUUAGUAUCAACAAGUAAUUACAUCUUAGGUAAUCAAACAAGUGGAAAUUGGUUAGUGGCGUCACCGAAACCCCCCGAUGAGCUGUCCUCACACAUGAUCCAUUCUCUCAUGACAUGUGCACCAGGGAGCCGAUCCCCCAUACAUAGCCGACUGGUCUAAUCUUCACUUGAUCAGCCUUCUCAUUUUUUUUAUACUCUUUUUUCUUUCCAUACCAACAGGAGGCCACCCUGUAGUUUUCCAUAUAAUCCGUAUCAUCAGAUGCACACAGGGGCGCCGAUCUCCCCACACAUGGUCGACGGUAUCGAAGAUCACCCUCACAAACCCAUGGUGACCCACUUCAUCCCAAUUCCACGCAAACAAGGCAAAUAUAUAUCACAUUGCAAAUAAUCAAAUAAUGCAAUUAAAUUCAAGCAUAUUAAAUAAUUAAACACUAUCAUGCAAGAGCACAAAUAGACAUUCACAUACCAAUUCAAAUAAAUAUAAGACUAUUAAAUAAUAAUAUAAUAUAAUAAUUGAUACUUGAAAAUAAAUAAAUAAAUGAUAAAAAUAAAUAAAUAAUUAAAAACAAAGCUCUGUAUAGUAAUGAUUUUAUGUAUAAUGCAAAUGGUAAUGCACUAUUUAUUAUUUCUCAUAGUGAUUGGAGAGGAUAGAAUUCUUCUUGAUUCAAACUUGGGGAAGCCGAGAAGAGACCCAUACAAUCUAAAAGUGAAGACAGAAAUAAGAGAAAAGCUUAUAUUAGAAUUCAAAAUUAAAUUACUUAACUUAAGCCACUAGCUAAACUUAGAACUAUGGAGAUUCUGUCGGAAAUUUGACAGAGUCUCCUCUAAAAACUGGACUUAACCACCUGUUGACUAUCCAUAAAUCACAAACAAUAUAUAAAGCCCAUCCGUUGGGCAAAUCCUUAUCAACCCCAUCCGCCAUUGACAACAUUUAUCAAAAUCUCAUCCUCAAUAUUCAGUCACAUAAUUUAAUUUUAUGAUAUCAAUAUCCAAACAUAAUCACAUCCCAUACUUCAAAUACAUGUAUGUACACACAUAUAUGCACUUAAUAAUUCUAAAAUUCUAAACCAGUUAAUUAAUCACAAUUGGCUACCAUAAAUACCGUAAAUUAAUCAAACUUAAUUUAUUUAUAUAAGAUUAAAAAUUUUCUAUUUAUAUAUAAAGCUAUUCAAAUAAUCUAAUUUCUUGUCAUUCAAUUAUGUCUACUUUAGUAACCAACUAAUACAACAUAAAGAAUAAAAUAUUCUAAAUGACUUGUAUUCUUAAUUUUUAGAAUUAAGUAUAUUUAUCUAUUGAGGUUCCUUAACAAGAAUCAGAUUCAAUUAACUAUUUAUUCGAAAUCAACUUAAUCAACUAAUAAUUUUAAAUUUGGAUUUUAUACCAAAAAUAAGGAACUAGGUCUUAGAGGGUACCAAUCGAAAAUCAGACUAUGAUUCCACGAUCUGCGCAAGGAGGAGAUGAUUCCACCUCCUGGGGCCUCACCGGCUGCUCGCUGGACUGUUGCCGUCGCCGCUGCCUAUGGUGGCCGAAAAGCCCAUGGCUGCUCGUAAUCGAGCACUCUUCACUCCGCCUAGCUUGGAUUUCACUCAAGAGUUCGUUUUUGGCAUUGGUUGAGCGAGAUCGGCCCUCUAACUGAUCGGAACGGGCUCGACUUGCCUGUUUAGCAGACUGAAAACAAACAGAGCGUGAAGGAGAUUAUGCCAUCGACAAGGGAGUUGCUGGAGCCGUUCAAUUGUGUCGAGGUCACCGGAGACGGCGAAGGCGCCAUUGCGUCGAUCGUCAGAGAGAGAUCGCAGGUCGCCAGUUUGCUGCGCCCACCGAAAAUGAAAAUAGAGAGAGAAGGAAGCUGCAGAGCGAUGUGGCGCGACGAUGAGGAGAAGAUGGAUUCGAUCGGCUCUGGUGGCUGGAAACAAAAGAGAAGGAGAGAGAGGUGAG